AUAAUAAGCAACAUAUUUGUGGUUUUUAAGAUCUUUAAUAACUUAGGAAGUUGAGUUAAUGGUUUUAUUAGGUACUCAGGGGCGAGAGAGGUUUUAAGAUCUUUAAUAACUUAGGAAGCUGGAGGAGAUGCUUUUGUACAUACAGUUGUAGCAUUAUUUCAUAAAUAAUGACUGUGAGAUAAAUAAAAUCAACCUUCUCAAGCUUGCCUGCUUCACUGUUACAGUUUCUUGACAAUGUUUGGAGAAAGAGGCAGCCAUUGGUUGUCAUGACGGAGAUGAUUGAGAAGCUUAGACACCACAAGAGAGCAUUGACAGCAUGACGGAUCUGUAUAUGCUAACUAUUAUUGAUUCAUUUAUGUGAAACUUAAUUUGAUUGUGUUUGUAUUGUCUUAGCAUAAUUGUUAAUGAUAAAAGAUAAAAGAUUUGUUGUGUGUGUUC